GCCAGGUUCAGGCUCGCGUCCGACUCGCCGCCGUGCCGCAGCAGCUGGGACUGCCGCUGCUGUGGUGACUGAGGAGCCAUGGUGGACAGGCUCGGCCCCGACUCCCCGCAGCGUCUCAGGUACGCCGAAGACCGAUGCUGGCUGGACGAGCCCAGGUAGUAGCCCGACGACGAUCCGUACCCAGAGUUGGAGAUGUAUGAAGGACCGGCAUGCGGGCUGGGCGACCCAUAGCCGGAAUUGUACAUCUGUGGUGGGGCAUAAGCAUAACUUAUGUUGACUGGUGGAGACAGGUGGUUACCGACCAGGGAGUGUGUUGAACCUCCGCGGAGGAGUGAGGUGCGGAGGUAGGGCGAAGACAUGUUUGCGAGGUCUGCGCUGCUUCUGCUUAUGCUCAUGGCUGAUGAGUUCCUGUAUGGUCUUUGGGUGUUCAGAGAGUGCGGGGUGCCGGAAGCAGAGUAGAUUCGAGAUAUGGACUGCGAUGAAGGUCGCCGGCUUAUUGGUCUGGGAGGGGAUGCUCCCACGCUUGAUCGGAAUGAGGAUGAU
rnacentral:rRNA from 1 species